CCCUCUGUUUGCUGCCGUAAGUGAAGUAAAGCCUUUCUUCAGUAAAGCAGAGGGAGAAAGAAGAGAGUGAGACACUGCUUUCAGUGUCUGAAGAAAUCGAUUGCGACACUGCUGCUGAUUUAAAACACUUGCUUGGACCUUCAAAGAUGAAACCGGAAAAGACAGUGGAAACAGGCUGGGACAAAGAGGAUGCACAGGACUCUGCCCCAGACGAACGUCUGGGACCUUUGCCUGAAAACGACAGAACUCAGGAGUCCAGUGCUUUCCAGUUUUCCUUCUUUGGAGACACAGAGGAGUUGGGCAUCAAAGAAGAGCCUUACGUACUUGGAACGACAAAACCGGAAAACGUCAGGUGGCGACAGGAUUCACAUUUCCAAGACAUCCCGUCUGGGGCUGCUGGUGAGCCGGAGAUGUCAGAAAUUGAAAAGCACCAAGGAAGGGUUCUUUCUCUACCACGCACAGAAAGUGCUAGAGUUCUCUUCUUCUCCAUAGAUGACGAACGCCUAAGAGAUAAUUACCUCAUAGCUAUAGGAACUUGUAGAGCUUAG
rnacentral:lncRNA from 1 species